CCCGGGCCACAGCCAGCUGCAGGUGCUGGUGCCUGGACCGCAGGUGGGUGGCUUCUCUGGCUGGCUGCAGCCUGGGAU